GUGUUCCCUUCAGCAGCACAUAUACUAAAAUUGGAACAACACAGAGAUUAGCAUGGCCCUAUGCAAAUAUGACCUCAAAAUCAUGAAGUGUCACAUUUUUUC
ensembl:snRNA U6 U6 spliceosomal RNA